GAGGUUGAACGGCCACAUUGGGACUGAGAUACGGCCCAGACUCCUACGGGAGGCAGCAGUCGGGAAUAUUGCGCAAUGGAGGAAACUCUGACGCAGUGACGCCGCGUAUAGGAAGAAGGUUUUCGGAUUGUAAACUAUUGUCGUGAGGGAAGAAAUUGACAGUACCUCAGGAGGAAGCUCCGGCUAACUAUGUGCCAGCAGCCGCGGUAAUACAUAGGGAGCAAGCGUUAUCCGGAUUUAUUGGGUGUAAAGGGUGCGUAGACGGGAAAUUAAGUUAGUUGUGAAAUCCCUUGGCUUAACUGAGGAACUGCAACUAAAACUGGUUUUCUUGAGUACUGGAGAGGAAAGUGGAAUUCCUAGUGUAGCGGUGAAAUGCGUAGAUAUUAGGAGGAACACCAGUGGCGAAGGCGACUUUCUGGACAGUAACUGACGUUGAGGCACGAAAGUGUGGGGAGCAAACAGGAUUAGAUACCCUGGUAGUCCACACUGUAAACGAUGGAUACUAGGUGUAGGGUGUAUUAAGCACUUUGUGCC
rnacentral:rRNA from 1 species